rnacentral:rRNA from 1 species
UACGUAGGGAGCAAGCGUUGUCCGGAAUCAUUGGGCGUAAAGCGCGCGUAGGCGGCCUCAUAAGUCCGUUGUGAAAGUCAAAGGCUCAACCUUUGAAAGCCGAUGGAUACUGUGAGGCUAGAGUCCGGAAGAGGCGAGUGGAAUUCCUGGUGUAGCGGUGGAAUGCGCAGAUAUCAGGAGGAACACCAAUAGCGAAGGCAGCUCGCUGGGACGGUACUGACGCUAAGGCGCGAAAGCGUGGGUAGCGAACAGG